GCCUUCUCCACCCUCUCUUUCUCUCUGUUUGUCUACUCCUCUUCAAACGGCACUCUCACUUCCUCUCCAUUUUUAGUUGUCCUGUUCAGACCAUCUAAUUAUAGCCACCUUCUUCAAGAGGCACCCCCUAAAAACAUCCCUCCAAAAAAGGGAAAGAAAAUGUAAAACAAAAGAAAUGUUCAAUUCCUUAUUCCAUCUGGGAGGGGCUGUUUUUUCCGUGGCUCAAUUCUGAAACUUCUUCUUCAUACACUACUUCUCCUCCGAUUUGCUGCUGCUGCUGCAUUUUCUUGCCUUUGCAAAACUAACUUUCCCAUCACCCUUUUCUUUCUUCUUCCUUCUUGAGUUAUGUUGUGCUGUCCGAAAAUGCACCACUGUCUUGUAGGUUUCUUGAUUGUCUCUCUUGGGAUCCUGGCCACAUUCGUCCAUUCCAAAACUAAUUCCCAGGAUGUUUCUGCUCUUAAUGUGAUGUUUACCAGCUUAAAUUCUCCUUCACAACUGAGCGGCUGGAAAUCAAGUGGUGGAGAUCCUUGUGGCGAUUCUUGGGAAGGAAUUACAUGCUCAGGCUCUGCUGUGACUGAAAUAAAGCUAUCUGACCUUGGACUUACUGGAUCAAUGGGCUACCAGUUGUCAAACUUGAAAUCUGUCACCUACUUUACAGUGAUAUGAGCAAGAACAAUCUCAACAAUGAUAUACCAUAUCAGCUUCCUCCUAAUGUAGCUCACUUAGAUUUUUCUAAUAAUGGCUUCAGUGGCAAUGUGCCUUACUCAAUUUCACAGAUGACUGAACUCGAAUACCUAAAUCUUGGCCAUAAUCAGCUCAAGGGACAGUUGAGUGACAUGUUUCAAAAACUUCCAAAACUUAAAACAUUGGAUUUAUCCUACAACUCUCUUUCAGGCAAUCUGCCGCACAGUUUUGCGUCACUUUCAAAACUCAACACUUUGCAUUUGCAAAACAAUCAAUUCACUGGUUCAAUAAAUGUUCUUGCGGGCCUUCCUCUUAAUAAAUUGAAUGUUGAAAAUAACAAGUUCAAGGGCUGGGUCCCUGAUGAGCUGGAAAAUAUUGACAGCAUAGAAACUGGAGGGAAUUCUUGGUCUUCAGGGCCAGCUCCUCCUCCUCCACCUGGUGCAAAACCUAUUUCUGCAAAACUUAAGGACCAUGAGAUUGGUGGAAAUGGGAAGAAUGGCAUGAGUGGGCUAGCUCUAGCUCUAAUAAUUCUGGCUUCAUUGGUGGUAGUUGCACUUCUGAUUACUCUACUAUCAACAAGAAAAUCUUCUCCGUCUUCACAUUUUCUUGAUGAAGAGAGGGCUAGCCAGCAUAGAGUGUUUACGCCCCUUGCAUCACAGGAAUUAUCCAAUGAUUUACAUAAUGCCAAGCACAAGGAAUUCAGAGAAUCUGAGUCAUUUGAUUCAAUUGAUACAAAGACCCUGCAAAAAUCUCCAUCCAUUGGUUACAAGCCUCCACAUUCUGAUUUUGCACAAUCUUUAAAUGACAAUGAGUUUGCGAGCCGUCUGAAUGCCAGCAGAAGCACCUCCAUUCAUGCCGUACCUUAUUCUUUGGCAGACUUGCAGACAGCUACUGGUAAUUUUGCAGCAGGUCGUCUUAUUGGUGAGGGAUCCCUUGGUCGUGUUUAUAGGGCCAAAUAUCCUGAUGGGAAGGUUUUAGCUGUCAAAAAGAUUGAUUCAUCACUUUUUCAAACAGGGCGGCCAGAACAAUUUUCAGAAAUUAUUUCAAGCAUCUCAAGAGUUCACCAUCCUAACAUUGCUGAACUUGUCGGUUAUUGUUCAGAAAAAGGGCACAACAUGUUAAUAUACGAGUAUCUUAGGAAUGGCUCACUUCACGAGUUCCUGCACAUGUCAGAUGACUUCAGCAAACCACUAACUUGGAACACUAGAGUCAGAAUUGCUCUGGGAACGGCCCGGGCUGUUGAGUACCUCCAUGAAGUUUGUUCUCCAUCCUUCAUCCACAAGAAUAUAAAGUCAUCUAAUAUUUUGCUUGACCUUGAGCUUAAUCCUCGUCUUUCAGACUAUGGGUUAGCAAAUUUUCAUCAUCGCACAAGCCAAAAUCUUGGUGUAGGAUAUAAUGCUCCAGAGUGCACAAAGCCUUCGGCCUAUACAAUGAAGAGUGACAUUUACAGUUUUGGGGUGGUGAUGCUGGAGUUAUUGACUGGCCGAAUGCCUGUUGACCUCUCAAAACCAAAAUCAGAACAAUGCCUUGCCCGUUGGGCUACUCCACAACUGCAUGACAUUGAAGCGUUGGAAAGAAUGGUGGACCCUGCCUUGCGUGGACUAUACCCUCCCAAGUCGCUCUCCCGUUUUGCUGAUAUCAUUGCCCUCUGUGUACAGUCGGAGCCAGAAUUCCGGCCGCCUAUGUCAGAGGUGGUGCAAGCAUUGGUGCGUUUAGUUCAGCGCUCAAGUAUGAACAUGAGAGAUGAUCUUGCAGCCUCUCGUCGGACAGAGGACUCUGACUACUAGUGCUAGUGCUUGGAAUGAAAAAAAAAAAAAAAAAAAA
rnacentral:misc_RNA from 1 species